rnacentral:rRNA from 1 species
ACGCUCGAUACCUACGGGGGGCAGCAGUGGGGGAUAUUGCACAAUGGGGGAAACCCUGAUGCAGCGACGCCGCGUGGAGGAAGAAGGUUUUCGGAUUGUAAACUCCUGUCGUACGGGACGAUAAUGACGGUACCGUACAAGAAAGCCACGGCUAACUACGUGCCAGUAGCCGCGGUAAUCUGAGCGGGCUGGCAAGGC